UAGAGUGACACAAAUUUAUUAUUUUACAGCUCUACAGGUCAGAGAUCUGAAAUGGGUUUCACUGGGCUAGUUAGGUUGUGGGCAGGGCUGAUUCCUUCUGGAGGUGCCAGGAGGAAUCUCUUUCCUUACUUUACCAGCUUCUAGAGGCUGCACCCCUUGGAGCAGAGCCCCUCCCCCACGUUCAAAGCCAGCAGCAGAGCGUCUUCCAGUCUCUCUGACUCUGCCUCUCCUGCCUCCCUCUUUCACUGCUAAGGAUCCUUGUGUCUGUAGGAUUAUCACCCAGAUAAUCCAGAAUGAUCUUUCAUCUCAAGAUCUUUAAUCUUGGAGGAGUUCCCAUAGCGGCUCAGCAGAAACGAACUGACUAGAAUCCAUGAGGAUGCAGGUUCGAUCCCUGGCCUGGUUCAGUGGGUUAAGGAUCCGACAUUGCCAUGAGCUGUGGCCGCAGACAUGGUUUGGAUCUGGCAUUGUUGUGGCUGGGGCAUAGGCUGGUGGCUAUAGCUCCAAUUCAACCCCUACUGAUUAGAGGAUGGACAUCUGGUGGGGCAGGGGGCAGUGUUCUGCCUGGCACAGCGCUGACCCAGGUCCCUGAGCUGUGGUCUGUCUCUCAGAGGACCCUUCACCUUUGCCUGCUGGUUAGCCAAGCAAGACAGUGGCCUCAAGGAAGAAAGCUCUGUGUAAUCUUAGGAAAACAUAUAAUCCAUCCAUACUUCAGUUUCUUCAUCUGUGAAAUUUUAGAAUUGGCUGUUCUCUAAGGUGUCUUCCAAAUCUAAACCCUAUGUUCCUCAUCUCUUUGGAAAAAUAAGCAUUUGAAGAAAUCUGGUUGCUUAAGAAACCAAACUGAUGUUGUUCCCGUGCCGUUGGCGGGUCCUAUGGCCCCACCCUGGGGAGGCUCUACCAGCCCAUGUGGUGGGAGCCAGGGAGGGAGCAGGUGGCCCUCUGCUUUCCCAAAGGCAGAAGAGGGACCCAGGAGGCACAGGUGGGUGUCUGUGGCUGAGAGGCCUCUCCAGGGGAAGACAAUGCAUUGUUCUAGCCCUCUCUGCUGAGUCACCAUUAAAGGCCCUGGGUGAUGGUGCCAAUCUCAGAAAUGGCUGCUGACUCAGAGCUACCCGAGGGGUCCAGGGAAGCACCUGGACCUGCUGGGCCUGCUCCUCUCACGUGGGCACACAGACCCCUUCCGACCUCCCUGGAGCCUCAGGCUCUUAGGAUCGCAGUUCUCAGGACACUGGACAUCCUUCCCUGUCACGUGACAUGGAGCUGUCUUGGGUUUAGACUCUCCAGUUACUCCGAUGAAUCACACUGUUUUGGUGGCUUCCUUCCCUCUCUGGUCUGGCCCUUAAAAUUAGGUUCACUUUGUACCCUCAGCCCCAUGAGCCUCAGAGAGACACCCCAGGUUGUCAAGACUGCUCUGGGCCACCUAUUCCUUCCUUUCCCAAGGUAGUGCCACCUAUCAGCAAGAGCUCUGGGCCAUAGACCGAGAAACCAGGGCUUGCUGUUCCUGUCCUCUGAGCUGCUGUGGGGCAUUUGGCAGUCACACCAUCCCUGUGGGCCACAUGGAGGUUUAACAAUAUUUCCUCCAAAGUCCUUUCCAGCGGCAAUACGAAGGGCUCUGAGGCGAUCCUCCUGAAAGUCCUCUUUGGUUCUGGAAGUCAGUCAUCCUCUCUCAUAGAAUUUCUGAAUAUGGUGGGUCUGGCUCAGCUUAAAGAAAACCAUGGCUAUGCCUUCCUUGGAUUAGCUUUUCCUGUGGCUCUCGUCGGCAGUGUCUGUCCCCCUGCCAGGAAGGUGCUGAUCCACAGCCUCAGGAAUGCCCAGCACUCUGCUCAGGGCCCCUUUCCUUUCCUGUGCAGAUUUCUCAGUCCCGCUUGUCCCACCCAGUCUAGACUAGAUGGUUGCCUCUGUGCGCCAAUCCCUUGGGGGUCACUGUGGAGGUCGGAAACCGAACUGUGACUUACUCUUCACCCCAGUGACAAGCCUUUCAUUCCUCCUUCCUAGUUGGGCCUGCCUAACCAGACCAGCACCAGGGUGAGAGGGGAGAAACUUCUGCUGUGUAGUAACCCUGAGGGCGGGCGCUACUCAGUGGGUGGAUGUCACCUCUGUCCCUGGAAGCUCUGGGACAUCCAGGGCCCCACCCACCUCUCCAGGGCCUAGGUAUAAGGCCUUGUACCCCUGCCUCAAGCCCAGCCAGUUUGCCAAAGUUCCAGAACUUUCUUGGACACUUUGAACUAUACAGGUGCUCUCUGAAAGAGAACAGAGUUGCCUUCUGCCUCAUCCAUUUCAGAGUCAGCUGGUGUCUUGUGUCCCCUUUAAAAAAAAAAAAAAAUCUUUUUCUACUCAUCCAGCAAAGAGCGCUUAUUUAUCUCACGAAUUUGAGCACCACCCUCACCUCUUCAGAAGGAAACCACACAAACUGGGUGCUGUAAACUAGCUUCCCACAGCGUUGGGGGCACACGGGGCCUCCUGGGGAGGGUCUCCCCUCCUCCAGGGUGUAUACUCAGCUGCAGAGCACAGAAAGGCCUAUUGUUCCGCCGGCCACGUGCUGGGUGUCCCCCCUCCCCCCUCCCAGGAGGUAGAAACGCUGCCUGGAGACCUUAUCAUCUCCUGCCUGGCUUUCUGUUUGGUUUUGUUUCUGGUCUUUCCUUUUUUUGUGGUACUUCCUGGCCCAGACCCCCAGCCGCUUGCUGCACCUUGUUCGUCCCGUACCCCAUGCCCAGCGAAUGCCUUUUGCGUGCCUUUGAUGUCCCAGCUCAGUUCUGGGGGAGCAGAGUGAACAACUCCCCCUUCGAGGCUCUGGGGGUUCGGCAGAGGGAGGGAACAAAGGCACGGCGUGGGCAGGGCCCAGGCCCAAUCCACGGGGGCCUACAGCUCCCCAGUGAGUGUUGGGACAUGGACACGGCAGGGGCUGGGCCGCCAACAUUGGCAAUGUCAUAGGUCUUCGGAGCAUCCAGCGCACCGGCUCAGAGGAGGAGUGUUGCAGGAGGAGCCAGGAAAUUCUGGUUGGUCCCACUCCGCCACCGUGUGACCCCGCAUGACCCACACCUCCCAGGGGAGACUCUGUGCCCCAAGAGGGGGCAAGAGCCCCCGUCCUGCCUGCGUACUUCCUGGGGCUGAGGUAGAGAGGCCGCUAACACAACCCUCUCCGAGGAAACGCUGGGAGAAGCAAAGGGCCUUUGUGAGUCAGCAGUGGGAGUCGUUGCUUGGUCCUUGCCCACCGUUUACCCUGAACCCUGCCACACUAGUUCCAGUAAACACCUAGUGGGCUUGUGCUGCCCCCUAGUGGCAAAAUCGAGUCCUCAUAAUUCACUUCCAGUUAAAUUUCAAUUCUCUUAAAAAUAUCAGAAAAAUUACUAAGGAUGAGUAUGAAUAUAUAUAUAUAUAUAUACAUAUAUGUAUAUAUAUAUAGAGAGAGAGCCCAGCCUGGAUUUUAUCUAUUUUUAUACCAGUGCAUUCAUAAAAUAUAUUUAAAAAUAUUUAUUAAUGGAGGAAGUCACCCAUGAAGGCAAAAGUGCCCAACACAGCCCUGGACCCAAGGAGGAAGGCAUGUCCCAGCUCCCCCUUCCUCAGGCCGCUAGCCGGCUGCUGGCUGCUCCUCCAAGCCUGCGGGGAGGCCUGCCUGGGGCCUGCUGGUGGCCUCUUGUCAAGGCCUUACCAAAAAGGCUGGUACUUGCCCCGAGAUGAUGGAGAUAAGAUGGAGGAACAGAUGGAGAAACCAAAGCAAUAUGGCUGCUUUUCUUCAGCCUUUAAAAAAACUUUUAAAAUCCCCAAAGAGUACAAAACACCAUGAGAAAUAGUUCCUUUUCUCUUUGCUAAUAUUGAGACAGGACUAGUUGACCUGGAGAGACAUUAUGGCUCCUGAAUUUUUUUUUUUUUCUUUUUCUUUUUUGGCCUCCCUGUGGCAUAUGGAGGUGCUGGGCCCAGGAUCAGAUCCUAGUCACAGCUGCAACCUACCUGGGAUAUUGAACCCACUGCGCCAGGCCAGGGAUUGAACCUGGGUCCCAGUGCUGCAGAGACACUGCCAAUCCCAUUGCACCAUAGCAGGAACUCCGGGGCUCCUGCACACUAAUGAUAACAAGUGACCAAUAACCUCUGGCUUCCCUCUUUAUGAGAAGUGUCCUCAGAGGCUGCAUACCUCAUCCCCCAGGGAGCAACUGGCCCUGUUUUCAGACAAGGAAUUUGGAGUCUAAGAGGUCACAGGCUUGUGAAAGGGAAACCCUAGCUUGAACCCAGGGAUUGGGGCUUCAGAUUCUCACUCUCCUCACUGCUUUGAGUGCUGGGAGUUGAAUGACACACACCCCUCUACAAGGUUGGGAGGAAAAUGCUGCAGAAAAAGUCCACAAUGCUUUUCCCUCCAUACCUGUGAAAUUAGUAAUCUAGUCAACAGUCAUCCUCUAAUCAUGAUGAAUAAUCAACUGAAAACUCCUGCCCUUUGACCUGGUUAACUGCUUUCCUUUCUCCUUUUCAUGUGACAGAGAUUCCUGAAGAGCCUUGCACAUUCCUAAUAGUUCUUCACACCCUCUCUCAGGCCUUCCCAGGCCUCUGAGAAGCUUCCCUUGAGACUCAGCUUCCUGGCAUUGGAUCUGGGAUGAAAGGUCCCUGGGCUUCUGGAGGCUUCCUUCCAGGCCCCCCUCCAGCUCCACGUACCCUCUCCCUUCCCCUAAGCGGGGCCCAGAUGAUGGGCAGAAUUGAGAAGAAUGUUGUCAGUUUGGUACCAUGUCUUGUCUUGCUUUGAGGAAACCAAUGUGCACAACACUGAAAAGCAUGGAGGGUUUGACGGUGGUGGGACGGGGGGCAGCCAUGUCACAGAGGCCUAGGAGACCCAGGAAGGCAGUUGAUGACCCGUCACAGGUGCUGGGUUUGCUGAGAAGGGCUUCUGAUACCCGCAGUGCAGUGAAGUGACGUGAAGACUGCAUCUUUACCCACAGGAGGUGCAAACAUCCGAGUGAGUGUGCAGAAAACUUUCUUCCAGAGCUUUCAUCUCUGGGGUGGAAUCAAGUGGGAUCAUAUGUGCCUUCUUACAGUCUAGGAAAACUCACAUUCCAUAAGCAUCUCUGAGGUGCAGCCCUUGGCCAUUGGAAACCCUUGUUAAGUAGGGAUUAUUUGCCCAGCUUUAGUUGCUCAGCUUUACAUAUUAGUAAACUGAAGUUCAGAGAGGCUGAGAGAUUUAGCCAAGAUCACAAAGCUAGUUGGGAGAGUAUUGACUCAGGGCAUGAUAUAAGCUCCAGAAACCCUUGAAACCAUAGUUUGCCUGACCCAAGACACCCUGGAUACGUCUCUCCUUGAGACUGAGGGGAGUCCCUUGUAGCACUCUAGGUAAGAGCGGAUGAUCUCCCCAUCAGUCGGAUUUCUAAGUUGAGUGAUCGGAGGUUAUGCGUACAGGUGCCUGCCCAGGCACUGGCCUUUGUCCCAGUCUCCCAUUCCCUUCCUCCACGGGCACACGAAGGUCAAGUCCUGACUGUGUCAGUCCCUGUGGACUCAUCUGUCUAUCUGCCACAGAUGUCUAGCAGCUGACCAAGAUAAGAAUGGAGUGAAUGGGCUUUGGAGCCAGGUGGGCUUGGGUGUAAAUUUCAACUUCUGCCAUAUUUUCAGGGAAAACUCAGGUUUUAGCAUGGGGAUGGGGGUGAGGAGGUUCGAGUCAGAAUCCUGCAGUCUCUGCCAGCCUCUGAGUAGAGGAGGGGUGGGAGCCAGCCGCCAGCCAUCCCCAUAACAGCAAGGCCUUCCUGCCCCCAGGUGGGGAAAGAGCCCACCGCCGACAGCGGGCAGCACCCAGCUCAAGGGAUACAAUUUCAGGGCCCAAACAAGACUCAGAUGGCUCUGGUCCUCCAAACUCUCUCCCAUACACUAGUCCAAAACUCACUUUCAAGGCCCACUGUAACCAUCCCUGGGGGUGAGGGAGGGGUGGGGAAUGACACGUCACAAUGUUUAAAAGAACACUGGGGAGAGCAUUAGCAUG
rnacentral:lncRNA from 1 species